rnacentral:rRNA from 1 species
UACGUAGGGUCCGAGCGUUGUCCGGAAUUAUUGGGCGUAAAGGGCUCGUAGGCGGUUUGUCACGUCGGGCGUGAAAACUCAGGGCUCAACCCUGAGCGUGCGUCCGAUACGGGCAGACUAGAGGUAUGCAGGGGAGAACGGAAUUCCUGGUGUAGCGGUGGAAUGCGCAGAUAUCAGGAGGAACACCGGUGGCGAAGGCGGUCUCUGGGCCGUAUUGACCUGACGU